AUCCAGCUGAUGAGUCCCAGAUAGGACGAAGCACACGUACUGGAU
rnacentral:hammerhead_ribozyme from 1 species